AACUAGCUUACAAAUGCCAGUUACAAAUAUUCCGUCAAAGAAACUUUGACCAAAAGUUUGUAACUAAGUUAUAAACACCAAUUAUAAAUAUUAAAUUACUAAUUCCUAUUAAUUUUAUUUAAUUUUUUUAUUUAAGUUAGAGGAAAAAAUUCUCGCUGAAAAUAAACAUAAGACUGAAACUUUUUAUUUAUUUUUUUCCUUUUGCUCCAACUUCUCGCCCGAUUGGUGAAAACUCCUUCUUCCUCUUACAAUUUCUCCUUUGCUACAACUCAAUCCAUUCAGUAUUGUUUUGGUUAGAGCUUCCGUCCGAUUUCAGGAAAUCUUGGGAUCGAUUCUCACCCCUGCCCUUGUGGCUCUCUCUAAACACCAAAAAAAAAAAAAAAAACAACUCAAUCCAUUCAGUAUUGUUUUGGUUUUUCGAAUUAUGGCUCUUGUUCUCGUCCAUAACGACGAACGUCUUCCUCCUCAGCUUCUCCAACAAUUUUCUUUCACAAUUUCUUUGCUGAUUUUCGAAUUUGGGUUCAGCAAUAGUGCUUCUAUUGAGGUUUAAAGGUAUGUAAUUUUCGAAUUAGGGUUCUUGUAAUUACCCCUUUUUUAAUUCAAUAAUAGCCCUAAAAAUCGAAUUGAAUUUUGUUAGCUGAUUAAUUUCACAUCAAAUUGACAAUGUGACAUGCCUUCUUUUCGCCCUUUAAAACCAAUAAAGCCCAAAUUUAUUAAACAAAUGGAGAAGGAGUUAAAUUUGAUUAUAUAAUUUGGAAUUUUACUUUGAUAUUGCACCAUUAGAAUUUGUCGAAGUUUAUGAUGAUUUAAAACAUCUUUUCAAUUUGUCUUGGUACUUUUUGUUUAUUUGUUUAAUUUUCAUUUUUUACUGUUGGAUCAAUGGUUUGAUGGAUAAGGCUGAAUGUGACUCUUGAGAUGUAUAGGGAUAGGGAUAAUUAUAUGCUUGUUCUGGUAUCUGAUGCAUUAUUAGUUCAAAAUAUGCUAUAAUCUGGAUUACAGGGUUACUAAAGAUGAUCAUUUUUCUUUAUGUUCCUGAUCGAAUUGGUGUGCAUGCCUGCUUGGAUGUGUAAUUAUGCAAUCGUGGAAUGGUUAUAUGUGUCUGUCGUUGUAUUUAAUCCUGCAUAUUACUGAUGAUCUGUUUUUGAUUUGGAAUUUGAUACCAAAAUGUUUCCUGCAUAAUGCUACGGUAUGUUCAUAUACAAAGGCUACUAAAUGAUAAUGUGGGCUACUCAUUCAUAAUUAAUUUAUUGUAAAAACAUAUUAGAACCAACACUUGUGGAAUUGUAAUAUAGUGACAGUUACUUGUCAAAUGAUGAUCUGAAAUCAAAGACGAGAAUCAAACAAAGGAAGAUAUAUAAUGAAAUGUUGUAGUCCCUACUAUUCUGUAAAUGUGAGUAAUCACUAGUAAAUUGGACUAAUCAACUGAAGCUAGAAUUGCUUGGAAAUGGCUUCCUGAUCACAAGUGUAAUCCUGUGUGUAUAGUUUGUCUAGGUCCCUCUUACAUUCUUAGGUUGCAUUGGGCAGGAGCCUCUUCGUAUAUUGGGUUAAUGAUGAUGCCGAUAUUGAUGUUAAUGUUGUAGCGUUUUAUUUUAGAUUCGAAGUAAAUUUGAGGUAACAUAUGUUGUGGCCUCUCCUUUUCUUGGUUGUUGAAGUUUCUUUUAAGUUUUCACGUGAAACUCUUGCUAGUCCAAUAGCAUAUUGUAGCAUUUUCAACUCACCGGCGGUGUGGCUAUGAAUUGCAAGUAAAUGAUGCUCAACCUUAAUUCAUGAAGUUUGUUUAGGGUGAAUACAUUAGAAUCUCAAUAUCUUCCUAUAGUUUUUAACUUUUAUAUUGAUAGAUUGACAUGAAGAUUAACAUGAGCCGAAUUUCAGAACUGAAUUCAGAAAUGAAAAUCAGAACCGAAUUUUCGAACUAUAAAAGAAGGGGAAAAAUGCUUGAUAGCUCACAAUGCAGUGUGCACCUAGAAGUAUCUUUUAAAUAACAAUAGCCAACACUUCCAGAUUUUGAUAUUUUAUUGCGUGCAUAACUCCUUAAAGUUAUUGAUCAGUCGUACUUGUUCUCGGAGGAUCAGUUUGCUCGGUUAACUUCAGAAAGCUCGUUCUCCUUCGUUACGAGGUAUUUUUAGGUGAUAUUUUUUUUGAAUUUGGGUGAAAUUUUGUCUACUUUCUUCCUGCAAAAUUUCAGAAUUUUUCGAGUUCUUUUGCUAUUAAACUGGACUGUUUUCCGCAACUGUGUCAGUUUUAGUCCGAGUUAAUAGUUAUUGCUGUUUGUGUGCGAUUUUGUUCCAAGUUGUGCUGCUAUUUUUUCCUUGUUUUGUGCGCAUAUUGUGUGUAUAAAUCAUGGCAGACGAGGCUAUAUUCAAUUCAUGAAUAGACUACUCAUUAUAUUCAAUUUAAUGGAAGUUUGAUUUUAAUUACUUGCUAGUGCAAACUCAGGUUUCAUAGUGAACCAGGAUUAAGAACAUCUACUUUUGAGAGGUACCCUUAUUUUAUUGCUUGUAUUCCGUCAUUAUCGAGUGGGACGAUUUGAUACCGGUGUCUGUAGAAGGAGAGAAGGUUGAUGUUAGGUGGCCUAAUUGGUUUGCUGCAGUUGCAGGGGAGGCUAUCAAAAGGUGGGUUUCAUGGUGGUUUGUUUCCUACUUUCCUUUGAGAAGAUGAAUAAGGUGUCGUGGAGUAUGUGGACUGGAGGUAGAAGUUUUGUCUUGGUUAGAGGUAAUGUCACUUGUAAUAUGCUUCCUAUUUUCUAUAUAGUUGGGAAUUCUUAUUGGGUUGCUUGUUUAGAUUCUACAUAAUUUGUAUAACAGGGGAAGGUAUAAUUUGUAUAAAUCAGGAACUGACCAUAAAACUAUGUAAAAUUGUUCUUGUCUAUGGCUUGAGUUUUGGCAUCCUAAAUUAUAAGGGUCUAACACA